rnacentral:tRNA from 1 species
ACUUAAAAAAUCCGUCGACUUUAAAAAUCGUGAGGG